GGAUCGGUAGUUCAGUUGGUUAGAAUAUCGGCCUGUCACGCCGGAGGUCGCGGGUUCGAGUCCCGUCCGGUCCG
rnacentral:tRNA from 1 species